UACGGAGGGAGCUAGCGUUGUUCGGAAUUACUGGGCGUAAAGCGCACGUAGGCGGCUUUGUAAGUCAGAGGUGAAAGCCUGGAGCUCAACUCCAGAACUGCCUUUGAGACUGCAUCGCUUGAAUCCAGGAGAGGUGAGUGGAAUUCCGAGUGUAGAGGUGAAAUUCGUAGAUAUUCGGAAGAACACCAGUGGCGAAGGCGGCUCACUGGACUGGUAUUGACGCUCAUGCACGGAAGCGUGGGGAGCAAACAGG
rnacentral:rRNA from 1 species